GGCUUGGUUUCAAAUGACCGUAUCACAUUAAUAGUUACCCUAUCGAAUGUCUGGGUGAAAUGUUUGAUACACUAAUGUAACUGCAUGUACAUUGUACAGUUUCAUUGUGAAUGAAAAGACUAGGUGUGUCAUGUUCUUACCAAUAUUUGACUAAUGCUGUGACUUGGAGAGGAUUUGGUUGGUCUUGAUAUUGCCUUCUACAUGCAUUAUAUAUUGCUUCUAAUCCCGGAGGUGUUAUUGGAAUAGAGGACUGAGAAUAAUUUGAUGAGUAUAUGCUUUCUCGGUCUUCCAUGUUUUGAAAUAUUCAAUGGCUUUUCUAUUCACCUCCCACUCGCCGGAAUUUAAGAAAACCUGUCUUUUACGAAUAGAACACACAAUAAACAAAACAAAAAUAUUCCUGAGUUAGAAUGUAUGCGUAUAGUUCAUGUUUAACCCAUUGCCGAUGAUAGAAGUCCUUGAAAAAUCCAGUAUUGUAACAAAAUUUGUCAUUGUUGAACGUCUUGACACAACAACAUUCCUGUUUCCGUUUUGAGACCACCCAG
rnacentral:lncRNA from 1 species